rnacentral:ncRNA from 1 species
AAAGUAAUUGAUUUUGUUACUAAAACUAAAGUUAAUUAUUACAAAACAUGUAAUGUUUUAUGUGAAUUAGUAGUAUAUUUAAAAUAUACUAUUAUUAAUAAUUUAUUAAGUUUCAGUUUUUAUUAUUAUUUAAUUGUUUAUGCAAUAUAUAGAAAUUAAUUAUAAAUACUAACUAAAUAUAGUGCCAGCAGUUGCGGUUACUCUAAUAGUAUAAUUUUAGUUUUUUUGGUUAGGUAUUAAGUUUUAUUUUUUUAUAAAAAGAUUAUUUUAUUAAGUGAAAUUUUAAAAUAAAAUUAAAUAAAGGUAAAUUAUAUAUUAAAUUAACUUAAAAACUAGGAUUAGAUACCCUAUUAUUUAUUUUUUAAAUUUAAAACUUUAUUAGUAAUAGUUAUUUUCUAGAAAAUAAAUAGAUUUGGCGGUAAUUGUUAAUUGUUUAGAGGAACCUGUUGCGUGAUUGAUAAACCACGAUUAAUUUUACUUUAUUUAUGGUUUAUAUACCGCUAUCAUUGAAUGUUUUAUUAGAAUAUUUUCUAUAAUAGUUUUUUCUCAAAAUGUUAGGUCAAGGUUUAAUAUAAUAAAGUGUUAAUGGGUUACAUUAAUAUUAAUUAUGGUGUUAAUUAAGUAUUAAUUUUUAACUAAAUUGGAUUUAAUUGUAAUUAUAAUUAAAUUAUUAUAAUGAAAUUAUUAUGGUUAUGCACAUAUCGCCCGUCAUUCUCAAAUAUUGGGACAAGUCGUAACAAAGUAGGGUUACUGGAAAGUAAUCCUGGUUAAAAUUA